rnacentral:tRNA from 1 species
GACUUCGUGGUGUAAUGGUCAUCACACUCGGUGCGUAUUCGAGAGGACCGAGGUUCGAUUCCCGGCGAGGGUC